UGAGGAAUAUUGGUCAAUGGACGCAAGUCUGAACCAGCCAAGUAGCGUGCAGGAUGACGGCCCUAUGGGUUGUAAACUGCUUUUAUAUGGGGAUAAAGUGGGGAACGUGUUCCCUUUUGCAGGUACCAUAUGAAUAAGGACCGGCUAAUUCCGUGCCAGCAGCCGCGGUAAUACGGAAGGUCCGGGCGUUAUCCGGAUUUAUUGGGUUUAAAGGGAGCGUAGGCCGCGUUUUAAGCGUGUUGUGAAAUGUAGACGCCCAACGUCUGCAUCGCAGCGCGAACUGGGACGCUUGAGUACGCGCAACGUUGGCGGAAUUCGUCGUGUAGCGAUGAAAUGCUUAGAUAUGACGAGGAACUCCGAUUGCGAAGGCAGCUGACGGGAGCGGCACUGACGCUUAAGCUCGAAGGUGCGGGUAUCAAACAGG
rnacentral:rRNA from 1 species